rnacentral:tRNA from 1 species
AGAAACUUAGGAUUAAACCCACCCAAACCAAAGGCCUUCAAAGCCUUAAAUAAGAGUUAAACUCUCUUAGUUCUGC